CUAGUUUCACCAAAGGAUAUAAUGGAACUAAAACAAUAGCUUUAUUGCCUUGGGAGCUGUACUGGCAUCCCAAAAUAAAGAUGUAACAAUGUGUGGCCAGUGAAUGUGUGUGCUAAUGGUUGUGCGUCUAUCUGCAUGUACUGUCCAAGGCGUACACUGUCUAUGCCCAAAUUCAGUUUGGCGGGUCAGCUAGCUCAUCGUGACACUGAACAAGACAAGUAGCAGACAAUGGCUUGCUGGAUUAACCAUACAGGUCUGUGAGUUACACUCACUCCGCCAUGCUGUGCUGACAUAAUUGGCGCCAAAGUUGUUGAUGUCGUGUCAUGAGUCGUGUCGAAGACUUCACCAAACAGCAGAGGAGGAGAGAACAACCUUAAAACGUCAAAGUUUGUGUGCACAUCCUUCUGCACAGAGAGACUCCUUCAAGGCAUGCGGGGAAAGCAACAAAAGAACAGACGUUGAGACACCGAUGCGUUGGCGUCGUCCCUCGCCUCCACGCAGCAUCUUCUCUCCUUCCGGAAUCAUCCUCGCACGGAGUGAGUGACUGACCUGAAUCUGUCUCUUUGCAUUACGACGCCCGCCCCGCUGGAAGAAGCAAUGGCAUGAAGGCAAAGCCCCAACUGCAUUGCAUGGCCUCAUUUAUGUGCAUGAGUCUAAGUGUGUGUAAUUGAACCUGCUGCAACGAUCAGGCAUCAUAUUUUUUAUUUUUUUUGGAAUGUUAGUGACACAAAUACUGUGCGCUUUGCUGUGGGUGCACACUAGUUGUGAUUUGCGCUUAACUGUAUGCGUUAUGGCACUCGAUAUCUCACCUUUAUAAUGUGGACAUUUUUCACACAGGAAAAAUAUGGGGGUGUACUGCACUCGCUUGGCCGAACUCUCCGAGCCCAAGAUCAAGUCUUUUGAAAGUGAAAACAAAGACCAAAACUAGCUGAAACUGUGAUAAGACCAAGAUAGUAAAAAUCCAUUUUCAAAAGGGUGAUAACGGUGGCUGAGAUGGUAAAGCGUUGGCCUCACAGUUCUGAGGUCCCGGGUUCAAUCCCAGACCCGCAUGUGUGGAGUUUGAAUGUUCUCCCCGUGCCUGCGUGGGUUUCCUCCGCGCACUCUGGUUUCCUCCCACAUUCCAAACACAUGCAACAUGAAUUGGACACUCUAAAUUGCCCCUAUGUCUGAUUAUGAGUGUGGCUGUUUGUCUCAAUGUGCCCUGCGAUUGGCUGGCAACCAGUUCAGGGUGUACUCCCCCUCUUACCCAAUGACAGCUGGGAUAGGUACCAGCACUCCCCGUGACCCUCGUGAGGAUAAGCGGUGAAGAAAAUUGAUGGAUGGAUGGAUGA